ACAAUAGACAAUUAUCAUGAACAAGGAAAUAUAAUAAUAACCAUUUUAGUAUUGCCUCUAGGGCAUAUUUCCAACAAUAUAUAACCCUUAUGUGGAUUGACAUCAAUUCCAUGAUUCACCUAGCAUAGUUAUGUGAAAUAGUCAUGCAGUGUGUCAAAAUCGUGCAAAAAAAAUCAAAUAAAUGGGCCUGUGUUGAAACUGCAGCACUGCUACUUGCUUUGUUAAGACAAAUGUUAAUGUUGAUGCACAUGGAUUGUCCAUUGAAGUGCACUUCCAUAGUUGCAGCACUAUUAUUUCCAAGAUGUACUUCAAAUGGUUGUUCGAUUCCAUUCACAUGUUUGUUUGAUUGCAUAGCUGCAGGGCUUUGAUUAGGCAUGUGAUUCAUUUCUUGAAGGUCUCAAAAUUGGAGAUUUGUUAAGAGUCAAGAAGGUGUUAAGGUAGCCAAUUGAUCUAUUGUACCUCCAGGCUUUAUUAAUGGCCAGCUUACUUACUGUGAUAUAUAACACUUCUGUUGAUUGACGUCAACUACAUGAUUCAACUAGCAUAGUGAUGUGAAAUAUUCAUGCAAUGUGUCGAAACUGUUCCAAAAUGUCAAAUAAAUGGACCUGCGUCGAAAGUGUAGGGCUGCUACUUACUUGGUUAAGUCAACAUUAAUGUUGAUGCACAUGUCGAAACUGUAGGAUUGCAAUUUAUGUUUUGUGGGAGGAUGGCAGACUUUAUUUUUUUCUACACAAGGGAAGAUAGAUAUCAAGACUGAUUUGUACUAUAGCAUCUGUACUUUCCCUCAUUCUAGGAGAUUGAACCUGAUGCAUUUCUAUGCAAGGGAAUUUUAAUUAUGUCUCAUCUCUACACGAGGUACAACGGCCAGCGACCGGAUGACGCUGACAGCAAAAGGAAGGGUUCUCGAGUUCUACUCCUUCUCCACCGGCAGAGAGGAGCCUCCUUCUCGUGGUCCGCGUGUCUGCCCCAGCCCUGCCAGCGCUGACCCCAUGGAAGAUGAGCAACUUGGCGAAGCAGUGGGCCAACCCCAAGGUGUGGUGGGCCCCAUGAUAGCGAAGAUGAUGGCGAAGGUGAAUGUGUCCCGGUGAACAUCCCAUGAUCGACGUUGCUUCCGAGGCCAUGGCGGCAUCUGGCACAAGUUUGGUCGGCUAAGCAGCUCCACCUCCUUUGGUGCGCGCACUGACGUCUCCCGCUCUGCCCCUCCGGUGGCUGCUUCCUCUUUGGUUCCGCAUAGGCUGCAACAGGAGAUGCUUGGGUUGAAAGUACAGCUGGCAAGCAGUACUUGGUGAGCCAGAUUUGGUGCAUUCGUAUUUGACCCUGGAGGAGGAACCUUUGAUGUCUCCAUUCUAGCAUGCUCUAACGGAGUGUUUGAGGGUAUUAAGUUCGACAUGAAUGAUGCCACAAUGCUUUUGAACAGAAGCAUUUGUUGGCCGCUGGGGGCAAGGUGAGCGUACCUCUGAGGACGCUAGAUCAUACCGAGCACCGAGGCCAGCCAGACUAGGAAAAAGCUUGCUUUCCAGGAAGGCACAACACUGCACUUGCUGCAGGAGUAAAAAUUAUGCCAUGGAGGUGCUGCAGUCCCUAGAUGAACCCUAGGUUUAACUUAACAAAUAUGCCAUGGCCUCCCCUGCUCCGUCCACUCUGGCCUAGGUGAGAUCAAUCGUCCUUGUGGAUGAGGAUUGGCAUCGUGUGUCUGUGAACAGGAAAACGGAGCCCCUUGGUGGUUUCAUCUCAGUUUGUUGUGCUCAGCCGCAAAUUACUGGAUCCAUGUUGCAGGCUACCAUUGUUGUGGAUGCUUCAUAUGGUUCUACGCCAUCUCAGCGUAACAAGGAUAGGACCCUGGUGCUUCAGUUCUCGGUCAAGCACGAGCAGGACCUUGACACUGCUUUUGGGAACAUGAUGUCACCUGGCACAAAUUUGCCCGGCGAAGCAGCUCUGCCUGCUCUGACGAUGACUCCGACGCCUCCCGUCCCGCUGUUUCCUCUUCGGUUCGGGCAUAGAUGAGCAACUUGGCCAAACAGUGGGCCAACCCCAAGGAGUGGUGGGCCCCAUGAUAGCGAAGAUGAUGGCGAAGGUGAAUGGGUCCCGAUGAACAUCCCAUGAUCGACGUUGCUUCCGGGACCAUGGAUGCAUGUGGCACAUGUUUGGCCGGCAAAGCAGCUCCGCCUCCUUUGGCGCGCACUCUGAUGCCUCUCGGCCUGCCCCUCCGGCGCCUGCUUCCUCUUUGGUUCUGGCAUAGGCUGCAACUGGAGACGCUUGGGUUGAAACUACAGAUGGCAAGCAGUACUCAGUGAGCCAGAUUGGUGCAUUUUUUAUUUGACCUUGGAGGAGGAACCUUUGAUGUCUCCAUUCUAUAGUGCUCUAACGGAGUGUUUGAGGGUAUUAAGUUCGACCGGAAUGACGCCACAAUGCUUUUCAACAGAAGCAUUUGUUGGCCGCUGGGGGCAAGGUGAGCGUACCUUGGAGGACGCUAAAUCAUGCCGAGCACUCAGGCCAGCCAGACUGGGCAAAAGCUUGCUUGCUUUCCGGGAAGGCGCAGCGCUGCGCUUGAUGCAGGUUUGCCACUUUCAGAGACAUGUAGCAAUCAGACAUUUAAUCCAUGCUCUUGUUUAUAAUUUCUCUUUGCAUGGCUACAUAUACACACAUGACAUGAUGACUGAAUAGUGCACUUCCUAUGUUGUGGUCACAUUAAGUGUAGUUUAGGUAUUAUGCAAUGUGUAUUUUAUUCGUAGAUGAUCAGGGAGGGAUGUUGUCUUUUCUAGAUUAAAACCUUUCUGUUGGGCCGCGUUUCCUGUCAUAUGCUAUGCAUCUUCCAGAUGGAUCCUGUAAAUUCUGGGAGAUCAUGCUGCCUACCUACCGUAAACGCCACUACUUUGUACCCUUCUUUGGUCUCCAUGGCUUGUGGUUGGCAUGUCGUUGGUGUCACAUGGUCGGUUGAGCAUAUGUGCAAACUUGUAAAGUCCUGGAUCUUUUCUUGGUGCCUGCCCCAGGUUUGGAUUUCGGUAUGGGGGUGUUUCUGAAUCGGCCAUCUAUCACCAUGCAAAUCUAGCUAGGCAUGCACACUAUGGUUUCUGCCACCUAAGGUGGUUUUUUUCUGGUUCAUUUCACAUGGCUGCAACAAGACCAGCAGAUGUCUUUUCCUUGUGCAUGGUGAAAACAAUAAUGAAGCGUCUCAACCCCCUGAUCGGGAGCCCACGAUGUUUAUAUAGAUUGUAAACGUGAAGUACAAGGCAGUCCGUUGUUGACAGAAUACAAGAGAGAGAGGAGAUCGGGAUAAAGGGAGUUGUAAUAGGACAGGAGAUCUAUCCCUAAAUAUUCAGGUGUGAGGCACAAGACAAGAACCAUUGACGCCUCCACAUUAACAUAUUUAACACCCUCCCUUAAUCUGAACUGCGCAAGUUUAGAUUACGCUUAAACUCCUCAAACGGCCUUGUAGCCAGUGCCUUUGUAAACCCAUCAGCAACUUGAUCCUUCAAGUGAACAAAUCGAAUGUCUAAUUCCUUGUUGGCAACUCUUUCCCUCACAAAGUGAUAAUCAAUUUCAAUGUGUUUAGUACGUGCAUGAAACACAGGAUUAGCUGACAAGUAUGUCGCACCAAGAUUGUCACACCAAAGACAAGGUGUCAGAAUGUUAUAUAUGCCAAGUUCCUUAAGCAUAGACUUCACCCAAAUAAUUUCUGCUGUUGCAUUGGCAAGUGCUUUGUAUUCUGCUUCAGUACUAGAUCUGGAAACUGUGGCUUGUUUCUUUGCACACCAAGAAAUCAAGUUGGGACCAAAGAACACUGCAAAGCCAUCAGUUGAUCUUCUAUCAUCCAAGCAACCUACCCAGUCAGAAUCAGAGAAGGCACUAACAAGAGGGGAUGGUGACUUACUGAAGGUUAGACCAACACAUAUCUCAGUAUACGUUUGGCUGCCGUCCAAUGAGCAGUGGUUGGUGCAUGAAGAUACUGACAAACCUUGUUUACUGCAAAGGAGAUAUCAGGUCUGGUGAGAGUCAAGUACUGAAGCGCACCCACCAGACUUCUGUAUUUGGUGCCAUCCUCUUGAUUCAAGAGUUCUCCUUCAACAAGUGUGAGUUUCUCUGAACUAGACAAAGGUGUUGGGGAAGGUUUGCAACCCUGCAACCCAUCUCUCCUCAAAAGAUCUGUAGCAUAUUUUUCCUGAGAAAGAUGAAGACCACCUUCUUUGUUUCUCUUGACCUCAAUGCCAAGGAAAAAAUGCAAGUCACCAAGAUCCUUAAGAGCAAAUUCUGAGUUCAAAUCUGACAAGAGGGCUGUCACUGCUUCAUUAGAUGAGCUUGUGACAAUAAUAUCAUCAACAUAGAUAAGCACAAAAACUGAAGUGUUCGACUUAUUGUAAAUAAACAGUGAUGCAUCAGAUUUUGAAGGAGUGAAACCAAGUUGUUGCAAUUUUGUACUCAACCUAGAGUACCAUACUCUGGGGGCUUGCUUCAGUCCAUAGAGUGAUCUGUCAA